CGAGGGAAGCCGGGUGGCGGUACUGAUCAUGAACCCCGUGAGAUCCGAGAGGAAGCAGCGGUAGUGACCCAGGCCGGGUACCCGGCUUCCCUGGCAG
rnacentral:SRP_RNA from 1 species